AUUGAACGCUGGCGGCAGGCCUAACACAUGCAAGUCGAACGAGUGGCGGACGGGGGAGUAAUGUCUGUGAAACUGCCCGAUGGAGGGGGAUAACUACUGGAGACGGUAGCUAAUACCGCAUACCCUCGGAUGUGCCCAGAUGGGAUUAGCUAGUAGGUGGGGUAACGGCUCACCUAGGCGACGAUCCCGAGCUGGUCUGCGAGGAUGACCAGCCACACUGGAACUGAGACACGGUCCAGACUCCGACGGGAGGCAGCAGUGGGGAAUAUUGCACAAUGGGCGCAAGCCUGAUGCAGCCAUGCCGCGUGUAUGAAGAAGGCCUUCGGGUUGUAAAGUACUUUCAGCGAGGAGGCGUUACUCGCAGAAGAAGCACCGGCUAACUCCGUGCCAGCAGCCGCGGUAAUUC
rnacentral:rRNA from 1 species